rnacentral:rRNA from 1 species
UACAGAGGUCUCAAGCGUUUGUUCGGGAUUCAUUGGGCGUAAAGGGUGCGUAGGCGGCGCGGUAAGUCGGGUGUGAAAUCUUGGAGCUUAACUCCGAAACUGCAUUCGAUACUGCCGUGCUUGAGGACUGGAGAGGAGACUGGAAUUUACGGUGUAGCGGUGAAAUGCGUAGAUAUCGUAAGGAAGACCAGUGGCGAAGGCGGGUCUCUGGACAGUUCCUGA